rfam:Microgenomates (Woesebacteria) bacterium GW2011_GWA1_39_8 TT61_C0013, whole genome shotgun sequence.
GGCCCUGUCAUCUAGUGGACUAGGAUACUGGGUUCUCAUCCCAGACACUGGGGUUCGAAUCCCCACAGGGUCA